rnacentral:rRNA from 1 species
AAUCCAGAGAUGGAUUUGUGCCUUCGGGAACUGUGAGACAGGUGCUGCAUGGCUGUCGUCAGCUCGUGUUGUGAAAUGUUGGGUUAAGUCCCGCAACGAGCGCAACCCUUAUCCUUUGUUGCCAGCGAUUAGGUCGGGAACUCAAAGGAGACUGCCAGUGAUAAACUGGAGGAAGGUGGGGAUGACGUCAAGUCAUCAUGGCCCUUACGACCAGGGCUACACACGUGCUACAAUGGCGCAUACAAAGAGAAGCGACCUCGCGAGAGCAAGCGGACCUCAUAAAGUGCGUCGUAGUCCGGAUUGGAGUCUGCAACUCGACUCCAUGAAGUCGGAAUCGCUAGUAAUCGUGGAUCAGAAUGCCACGGUGAAUACGUUCCCGGGCCUUGUACACACCGCCCGUCACACCAUGGGAGUGGGUUGCAAAAGAAGUAGGUAGCUUAACCUUCGGGAGGGCGCUUACCACUUUGUGAUUCAUGACUGGGGUGAAGUCGUAACAAGGUAACCGUAGGGGAACCUGCGGUUGGAUCACCUCCUUACC